rnacentral:lncRNA from 1 species
CAUAUCUUAGGAGAAGGAUACAGUAGAUCGAGUGGUGUAAUUAUUGCAAUGAGAGAAAACAUCUGUAUGUCUCUGAUGCACCAUGCAUACAGGUGUAGAGUACAUUAGGAUUUUUGUACAAGGUUAUAGUUGUUUGUAUCAUACUCAAACCUAGCAACCUCUUUUAUAUUACAAGAAGUGUUAGAAAUGGAUUCAUUAAAAACAUAAUUAAAUAAGGU